AUCGCGCUGCCCUUUUAUUUGGCAGGUAACGACACUGAGGCCCAGAGAAGACCAAGUCACUGGUCAGUGUCAGAGGUGGGACAAGAGCCAGGGUGACCUGGUUCCCAGGCCAUCAUGCUCUCUUUGCCGGGGUAGAGUCCACACCAGCAGUCUCUGUGCCUGGGUCUUGCACACCUAGGUUUCCUCUCACCAAGGCUGACUCUUUGACCUUUAACAUCCUCUCCCCUAGCCCUGAGAAGACCCACUCUGAAUGUUCCCAGGUCCCCAGCACACAGAUGGCAACUUUAAGGGGACAAUGGAUGUUAAGAAGGGUGAGGAGAGAUGGCAAGAAUGUCACCAGAGUACCUGGUCUGGCCACACAGGGUCUCAGUAAAAUAUUAUCUCGGAUUAAAAAUAAAUACACUAUAUGCUAACUAAAUUGAAUUUAAAUAAAAAUUUAAAAACAGGGAUGCCUGGGUGGCUC
rnacentral:lncRNA from 1 species